GACGAACGCUGGCGGCGUGCUUAACACAUGCAAGUCGAACGGAAAGGCCCUGCUUUUGUGGGGUGCUCGAGUGGCGAACGGGUGAGUAACACGUGAGUAACCUGCCCUUGACUUUAGGAUAACUUCAGGAAACUGGGGCUAAUACCGGAUAGGAGCUCCUGCUGCAUGGUGGGGGUUGGAAAGUUUCGGCGGUUGGGGAUGGGCUCGCGGCUUAUCAGCUUGUUGGUGGGGUAGUGGCUUACCAAGGCUUUGACGGGUAGCCGGCCUGAGAGGGUGACCGGCCACAUUGGGACUGAGAUACGGCCCAGACUCCUACGGGAGGCAGCAGUGGGGAAUAUUGCACAAUGGGCGGAAGCCUGAUGCAGCAACGCCGCGUGCGGGAUGACGGCCUUCGGGUUGUAAACCGCUUUCGCCUGUGACGAAGCGUGAGUGACGGUAAUGGGUAAAGAAGCACCGGCUAACUACGUG
rnacentral:rRNA from 1 species